UAGGGAAUCUUCCACAAUGGACGCAAGUCUGAUGGAGCAACGCCGCGUGAGUGAAGAAGGUCUUCGGAUCGUAAAGCUCUGUUGUUGGUGAAGAAGGAUAGAGGCAGUAACUGGUCUUUAUUUGACGGUAAUCAACCAGAAAGUCACGGGCUAACUACGUGCCAGCAGCCGCGGUAAUACGUAGGUGGCAAGCGUUGUCCGGAUUUAUUGGGCGUAAAGCGAGCGCAGGCGGAAUGAUAAGUCUGAUGUGAAAGCCCACGGCUCAACCGUGGAACUGCAUCGGAAACUGUCAUUCUUGAGUGCAGAAGAGGAGAGUGGAACUCCAUGUGUAGCGGUGGAAUGCGUAGAUAUAUGGAAGAACACCAGUGGCGAAGGCGGCUCUCUGGUCUGCAAACUGACGCUGAGGCUCGAAAGCAU
rnacentral:rRNA from 1 species